rnacentral:rRNA from 1 species
UACGGAGGAUGCAAGCGUUAUCCGGAAUGAUUGGGCGUAAAGCGUCCGCAGGUGGCUGUGUAAGUCUGCUGUCAAAGAGCGAAGCUCAACUUCGUAAAGGCAGUGGAAACUACACGGCUAGAGUGCGUUCGGGGCAGAGGGAAUUCCUGGUGUAGCGGUGAAAUGCGUAGAGAUCGGGAGGAACACCCGUGGCGAAGGCGGCUCACUGGGCUGACCUUGACGCUGAGGCGCGAAGGCGUGGGGAGCGAACGGG